rnacentral:lncRNA from 1 species
UUAAAAUUAUAAAUUUUAUUAUAACAUAUGCACUUAUCAUUUUAAUUAUACAAUCCAAUGGCAUUUAAUAUAUUCAAAAUGUUGUGCAAACAGCAACACCAUUCCUCUUCAUAAUAACUCUUAUCAUCCCAAACUGAAAUGCUAUCUCCAAUGAAAAAUAACUGAUGUCCUUUUCUCCCUGCCUCCUUUUUCAUGUCUCAUUCUUGGGAGCCACCUUUCUAUUUUUCUCUCUCACUACAAUAACUCUAGAAACCUCAUGUAAGUAAAAUCAUGAAUGUUUGUACUUCUGUUUCUGGCUUAUUUCACUUAUCUAAAUCACUUAACACCGGUUAUUCAGUAGCUGGAUUCUAAUUUUCAUUCUACUCUAGAUUCUAUAUUUUAGAAUAAAUGUCUAGCUUUGUACUUGAUAUAUAUUUUUUUUUUUACUUAAUGUUUAAGGGCAUUUCAUUCUAGGAAAUUAUAAACUCAGAGUUCAUAAGGACAAUUUCGUCUACUACUGGGUCUCCCAUACAGAACUUUAUUGGUCUAUUAAGUGUCUUCAGUUUGUGAAUAUUUUCAUUUCAAUUAUAGUUCAUGAAUUUUAGACCCUUUGCAAAGUUCCAUUUAGUCUUAACGGGAGCAUAAAAUAAAUAGAACUCAGGAAUCAAACUUGAAGGGAAAUUUACUUUCUGGGGAUGUGAUAUGAAAGCUCUCUUUUUUGAUACAAGGUAAUUUCUCUUGAGAUAGAGAAAUCCGCUCUACUUUAAAACGGAACACCCCACGGCUUAUCUUUCAGGUGGUUGGAAAGUAUCCGAGAGCUGUCAAAGUUACUUCAAGUUUUGUCUUGGGGGCAUCGCUAGGUCAUUACGGUUUUGUCUGUAAGUCGAGUAAUUUUGGAGAGGACACUAAUCCUUUGGAGAGUUAGUGGUUUAGCUUAGGCUAGCCCGUGUUUUCCAAUCUUGUCCACACCACACAGUAUAAGGUUUUGGUAGGCUACUAAGGUAAACAUGCGCAGCACACCGCUCUCAAGGGGCUCUCCAUCCCGCUUAUUCUUUCCAGUUGACACGCGACAGCCCUCACACCGAGGGUGAGCUGAAAGUCUCGCAGAUUCUGCCUCUCGGAUCUCGUAAUCAGGUUUCGUCUUUAGCCUUUAAGAGAGCCACAAGGUAAAACGGAACCAGGCACGCAAACCACGCAGACACGCACAAACCAAACCAUCCUACUUGUCCAGUGCGCACUCCGCGGAAUUUACGUCUCUUCCCGGCAGUCUCCGGGAGUCACCGCGAGACUUCAUUAAUUCUCGCGAGAUUUAUCGGCAGCCAUCUUCUUGGGGGUGCUGGGAGCCGGGAAGACCCCCCGAAUCGUUCCCAUUGAGCUGCCCUUCGUCUUCGCUUUCUUUACUUUUGCCUCUUGCGUUGCCAACAAGCACCUAGUCCCGAAGCUGAGAGGAAGCCCGGGUCUAAGCGCGUUUCGCGCUCCCGGUUCGGGAAGACUCGCUGGGGAGUAGGGUAGGGGGAGGGCCCGGGCAAACCGUUGCUGCCUCAGCCCAGGCCGGGGUCCGGGAAGGGGGAGCUCCUAGCACCCCGAGGACUCGCGGCCUGCGGCGAUCCUCCGCGGAGCUGUUCGCCGAUCGGGGCUCGCGGGAACCUGCCACCGGCGCCUCCCACCGCGGCCCGCGCGGGCGGCGCGCGGAGGAGGGGGCGGGGGCAGCGGCGGCCGUAGCGGCUGCGACCUGGGCGGGCGGAGGAGUGUGACGGGCCUCGGGGCCCCUGUGGAUGGUUUCUAAAAUGAUCAUUGAAAACUUCGAGGCACUCAAGUCCUGGCUCAGCAAGACUCUCGAACCCAUGUGAGUAUCCGGGGGAUAUCUCCUUGCAGGGAUAGCUGUGGUGGAUAGGCAGACACUCAGAUCUGUGGUGUUUCCCCAAAGUGCCUGCGGUGGAGGCCAAAACGGUGAUCAGAGGUCCCAGGGCUGUUUUCUCCUCUGCCACUCUCGCGUCCAGGUCCAAGUAUAACGCCGAGAGCCUGAGCUGAGCUUUAUUUAUCAGGGAGCUGAAUUUUGAACCGGUGUGUCUCUCGUUUUCCCGUUAUGUGUAGACCGACCUCAGCCUCCUCGCACACACGUUUUCUGAGGGCCUCAAAAUCCGUUUCUUUUUCUUUUAGUGAAUUCGAGCAUAAUCUCCUGUCCUAAGACUAUUUCACUUUUUUAAAAAUGAAAUGGGUGGCCUCUAUUAGACAUUAGGACAGUUCUAGUUAAAUAUCUCAUGUUUCACCUAAAUACAAUCACUAAAAGAAAGGCCACGUCUCCCAUGUGCUGUCUGGCUCAUCUGCACCACUUCUCUUAACUGAUUGAAGAUGUAACAGGUGCUAGGAUUCCCAGUAAAAUUCCCUUUUCCCGCCUACACGUUCGUUCACUUGGAGAGGUGGGAGAAAAUUCAGUCUCCAUCCAUCUGGAAUAUUAGUUUUAAGUGGAAUGCUGUAAGUGGCCUGGGCUUACGGGUGAGUUUAGAGUUCCGAAAUGUCUUCUGUUGGAAAUUUUAAGGAGUGUUUUAAACACUUACCUGUUAAUACAAAAUAAAUCAUGGACUGAGUGCUUUAUCGGAUUUGGUUGGUUUACAGUCAGCAAUUAAAAUACAAAGGGGAAAUUUAAGACAUUUAUUAAGCUGUUAUGAACUGUGAGAGGCUUUGGGAACAGAGCUUUUUAAAUUUCAAAGCUACAGGAUGUAAUAAACAAGUGAAUAGGUCCAUUUCAGAUAUUGAUAGUAUCAAUAGUGUUAUGACCAUUGUAAUAAUAGAGGAUCAUGUAAAAGAGUGAUUAGAAUUGGGGCUACUUCACAUAGGAUGGUCAGACAGAAGGCCUUUGAAUAGGUCACAUUUUAGCAACAUUUCAAGAGGGGAAGGAACCAUCUGUGUGAAAGUCUGAGCAAGGACCAUUCUUUGCAGAAUGGAGAGCAGAUGCAAAGGCCCAGCCAGUAGCAGACAUGAUCCUGUUGUGUUCCAAGGAAGAGAAAGGCCAUUGUGGCUGUAAGGUAUUUUGUGAUGGGGAAGUGGAAAGACAUGAAGUUGGAGAAGUAGCAGGGCCAAGUCAUAUAGAAUUUUUUAGUCCAUGAUGAGGAAUCAGGAUUUUAUUUAAAGUGUAAUACAAAGAUAUUAGAAGAUAUAAAGCAGGCAAGGACUGAUUUAAUUCUGCCUGCUUUGUUUAAAGGAGAUUAAGGGGGAAAGAAUGAGAUGAAGGAACCUAUUCUGAUGGAGAUGUGGUUGUUUGCAUUAGAUAGUGGAGACAGAAAGAACCAAAUAUAUUUCUUAAGUAGAUCUAAUAGAAUGUGCUGAUAGAUUGGCUAUGGGAAAUGAGGAAAAGGGAAAUCAAGGAUGAUGCCAAAGAAGUUAGUCUAAGCAACUAUAGUAGGCUGAAAGAAAACAGGUUGGGGGAGGAGGGAAAAGUGAUUGGCUUUGAUUAUUAAGUAUGAGGUAUUGUACACCUAAAUGAGAUGUCAAUUAGGAAGUUGGAUAUAUGAUUCUAGAACUCAGGUCAGCACUAGAGAAAUUUGUAGUCAUGCAGGUGAUAUAUAAAGUCAUAGUAUUGUGGGAGAUGUCCUAGGAAGCGUGCUUAGGGAAGAGGGGAGGCCUAGAACUGAGGUAGAAAAACUGGGCUGUAUGUUAACUAAAGAAAGAACAAAUGUGUGACAGAAGAGAAUCAUUAACUUGAUAGAAAACUGCAGAGUGGAUGAAAAAAGAUAGAGGCAGAUAAGUGGCCCUUAGAUCUGAGGUGGAGGUCAUUGGUAAUCCUGGCAAAGUAGUUUCAUUUGAGUGGAAUAGUGCAGAUGGAAGUUGUAUUUCAGGGGGCUGGAAUAUAUAGCCUAGUGAUAGACCAUGUUCUUAGUGUGUUCAAGGCCCUAGGUUUAAUCCCCAGGACCCCAAGAAAACCCCAAAUCAACAAAGAUAAAAAAAUAAAGUAGUUCUAUUGCAGUGGAAUGUAAAGAGCACAGCAUAAGAGUUGAGAGGGAAGAACUCUAGGGCCUAAUGGCUUGUACCUCUGCCACUUAACUAGCAGCUGUAUCAUAUUCAAUAAGUUAAUGCCCGUGUUUCCUCAUCUGUAGAAUGGGGAGAAUAAUAUAUAUAAAGAAAAUCAUAGAACACUGCCUGAUAUGUGCUUAGCACUUGAUAAGAAGUUAAAAGAAAACUUUGGAAAAUGUUUUGGGUUGAUAUAACUUCCAUUUUUUUGUAAACAUUCAGUUUUUAAAUUUGAACGACUGAGUAUUCAGUUUCAAAUCAGCUGUACUGUCAGUUCCCCUUUUCUUCAUUAACCUGAAAGAGAUUAUUUGUAACUACUUGUGUUGCUGUCUCUUUAGUUCCAUUUCUUUUAGAUGAUGACUUAACUUAUCCUAAUUCUUUUUAAGACAAGUGGUUUCUAACUUUAGUUUGUUAUCCAAUGGGGUUUUUUUUUGGCUUCAGUUUAACAUUGUAAUUGAAAAACUACACCUGUUUGAGAGAGGAGCAUAGGAAAAACCAAGGAUAAGAUAUAACUUGAGAUUUAUAUAGAACUUUUAAGCGACUUAUAUUAGUAUUUUAUGGUUUUGGAUUUAUCACAGAUUUUAAAUGAUUAAUUCUGCAAAUUUUAAUUGAGCACUUGACCUAUUACUCAAGUGUUCAUCGGUGUGCCAGAUAUUGGGGAAAUAUUAGGAAACAAGACACAAAAUGACUGUCUUCAUAUCAUUUACCAUUUGGAAGGGAAGACAGCUGUUGAACAAGAAAUUACAAAAUUGUGGGGUUUUCUUAAAGUCAAAAUAUAUAAAUGCUGUGAAAAUACAUGGGGAGGUAAGGAAAGGCCUUCCUAGCAUACUAACAUUUGAUCUCAACUUGGAAGGAUGAAGAGUAGUUUGCUAGGGUAAAAGAAUGGAAACAGAGACCCAUGAAAGCAUGCCAUUCUCAAGGUUUGGGAGAACAGAUUGUACAGAAGUCCUAAAAAGAGAAAAAAGGUGUCUUGGAGGGAUUCAAAGAAAUCGAAAAAAGAGCAAAAGAAGAAUAGUAGUAGAGAGUUCCAGAGAGAGGAGCCAGAUCACAUCGUACUUUGUUGAGUCAUGUUAAGAAUUUUGGAUGUUAUUGAAGGAUAGAGGGAAGCCAAUGAAAGGUUUUAGGGCAGGUGAGUUUUCAGAUUGAUGGAGAUGAGGUUGGGUGAAUGCCUGGUUGCAUUUUUUAGCAUGAAAUAAAAGUUUGUAAGUAUUUUAUUUGGUUAUGAGUUCUGUAGUUGGAUCAGUGUUUUAAGUUUGUUUUUAAAUUAUUGAAAAUGUAGAUAUUAAAAUGUCAUUUGUUGUCUCAAGCAUUUGCUUAGUCAUACUUGUUAAUAAUAAUGUAAACCUAGAUGUUGGUCUGUCCUCUAACGUUCAUGUGAAGUCCUUGGACAAAAAAAUUAAACUCUUUUGUUCUUUUUUGUUUGUUUUUUAAAUAUAAAAAUUUUUCUGCUCUAUUUUAAAGAUUUUUUUUAUAGGCUUACAAUCACUAAAUGUCCACAUUUUAAUCAUAUUAUAGACUUUUUAAAAAAAUACACCUCAAGAUGUAGUAAUCAGACUCUUCAGUUUUUCAGAAAACAGCAGGAUAGAUUUAAUGUUGUGCUCAGAUUCUGGAGUUUAGUUGGGAAGAAUAGAAUACCUCCUCUUUUGCUUUGUGAGAUGCUGUGGAGGUAGUAUUGUAUAGUGGAAAGAGAAGAAGCCUUUUGUCUACAUAGAUCAAUAUUCAGAUUUCACUUUUGCCAUUUAUUAGCUGAGUGCUAGGCAAAUUAACUUGUCCUUUUUGAAUAUACUAAGGAGAAUUUUACUGGUUUCUGUCUGUAAUUGCAAGGAUUUAGUGAGACAUAUAUUAAAGAACCUAGCUUUUCCCUCUUUCUUACAUACUGGUUGAUUAAACACUAAUAGGUUACACUACUAUUGUUAUUGUUUGUAUUGUCUUUCCUAAUACUGCUGCCACUACCAUCUUGACAUUUGCAUGCAUUUUUAAAUGUUUUGUAUUCCAGGUUUUAUUAGACAUUGUUACCUGUGUUUUGCAGAAGAUGACACUGAGGCACUGAAGCACAGUUGAUACUUCUUCACAGUGGUUUGAACUCAAGCUUUUUAACUCUAGAGCCAUGACUAUUCUUAAUUUACUACUACACAAUAGUGGGUUUUUUUUUCAAUUUCUAUAUGUACUUUUUUACUUUUCUAUUUUCCUAGUAACUUUAUUGAAAAAGAAAAAAUUCUAAAGCAUAGUGGUUAUUGAUCCUUAGCAGAGAUUAAUCAUGAAACUUCCUUGGAGUUUUUGUGGUGUUUUCCCCAUUAUCCACAAUUAUUACUAUGAAGUAUACCUUUCUCACCACAUUAAAGUUUAUUUUGUUCCUAACUUAGAGGAAUAAGUGUUCUUUGGAGUUUGCAAAAUGAUCUUUUUCCUUCUGAAAUUUUGAUCAUGUUGACCUCUUUUUAUCUUUCCCUUUCUACUGGCUCUUUUUGGCCAAGUGAGUCAGUUUUCUAUUCCAUAAAGAAGAAAGACUCAACAAGAGUAGUAGCAAAAAUAAAAUUGUAUUUUUCUUCUAGUCACUUUUUUGCUGGCUUCAUUUUCCUUUCACUGUUAAAUUGUGAAAUCCAAUACUUUUUGCUUAUUUGCCCUAUUUCUUAAUCCCUUGUAAUAUAAUUUCUUACCAUGCAUAUUCAGCCAAAACUGCUUACCUCAGUGUUAUCAAUGAAUUUUUGUUUACCAAAUGUAAAGACUAAAGUUUUAGGGGUUAGGGUGGUAGCUCAGUGGUAGAGUGCUUGCCUUACACAUGUGAGGCACUGGGUUUAAUCCUCAGUACCACAUAAAAAUAAACAAAUAAAAAGGCAUGCCUUCUAUCUACAACUACAAAAAAAAGACUGAAGUUUUUAUAUUCUUUGACCUAUGUGUGUAACAUCAGACAAUGUUAAUGAUGAUUUGAGGUACUGAGUAUUGAAUGUAGGGUUAUGUGUCUGAGGUAUACCUGCAGCCCUUUGAUGGUGCCUUUUUAACUUCGUAUUUAACUUCCUAUUUGCUUGGAUCCCUGAUACUUUAGCUCUCUUUCUUUUGAAUUAGUCUUAUGGACUUUAAUUUCUUUUCUUGACUCUGAAUUGUAUUUUUCAAAGUCAUUACAUUGAUUUUUUAUCUUCUCAUGUAAUCAUUUUUACUCUUGAUAUCUUACUCAUUUCUGCUGUGGUUUGAGUGUUUUGUCCCCUCCAAAACUCAUGUUCAAAUUUUAAUGGUUCAUAUAACACAUAAACAUGUGGGACUUUUUAUUUUUUUUGGGGGGGGUGUCAGAAAUUAAACCCAGAGGUGUUUCAUUGAGCCACAUCCCCAGCCUUUUUUUAUAUUUUAUUUAGAGACAUGGUCUCACUGAGUUUCUUAGGGCCUUGCUAAGCUGCUGAGGCUAGCUUUGAACUUGUGAUCCUCCUGCCUCAGCCUCCCGAGCUGCUGGGAUUACAGGUGUGUGCCACCCAAUUAGGACCUUUUAAGAGGUGAUUAGGCCAUAAAGACUGUCUUCAUGGGUAGGAUUAAUGCCUUUAUAACCCCCUUUUGCUUCUUUGCCAUUCUGUGAGGAACAGUGUGUUCCUUUCUUCUAGGCUCUGCCUUGGGAUCAGAAUUGCCAAGCCUUCUAAUGCCCUUAUUUUUGACUUCACAGCAUCCAGAACAGGGAGCUAAAAAGUCUGUGUUCAUUAAACAUUACCCUGUCUGGAAUAUUUUAUUAUUGCAGCCAGAUGGACUAAGAUAAUUGCUAUAGAUGGUUUCUGUUUAAUAAUCUGCCAUUGGUGCUUAAGAUCCAAAGAAUGAUUAAAGACUCCCUUACUGAGCAUAAAUAUACUUAAACAUUUUCUUCAAAUUUCAGAGCUUGUUAAUGGACUCCCCGUGAGAACUUCUACUGUGGGCAUUUAUUUUUCACAUAAAUGUUUACUAAACUACUUCUCAAAACUUUAAGCUCUUAUUUCCAAUUGCCUGCAUCUGUCACCUGAACAUUCAGUUACAUUUCUGAAAAGAAAUAUUCUCUAGGUUCACUUCAUUUCAUUUCAUUUCUGCAGAUUAUCCAGGCUUGAAAUUUUACAUUUUGGCAUCUCUUCCCUCCAUUUCUUGUACCCCUACUUAAUCAUCAGGUCCUAUCUCAUUCUUUUAACAAUUCUUAGUGACAUUGCUUAAUAGGAAGCUCAUAUUCCUUUUGUCUACCAGCACAAUUUGUUUUCUAACAAAAUCUUCCUGUCUUUGGUCUUUCUCCCUUCCAGUUCUUUUGAUGUGGAUACCCAACCUUUUUUAUUUUAUUUAUUUUGGUAGAAGGGUUUAACCCAGGGAUGUUUUAUCAUUGAACUACAUUCCACAGUUCUUUUUUUUUUUUUUUCUGGAGACAGUCUCGCCAGCUUGCUGAGGCCGUCCUAGAACUUGUGAUCCUCCUAUCUCAGCUUCCCAAGGUGCUUGGAUUUUGGGCAUAUAUCACAGCAUCUGGCUCCAACCUUUUUAAUAUCCUUUUGUUUAAUCCAGAUUUUCAGCAUUUCUAGAUAAUAAAUUGCAUUCUUUUUAGCUUGGCUUACAGAAUCUAAUGAUCUGCUUAAAUUAUCUUUCUACUUAUAUUCCUACUAUUUUUUUUCUUCUCAUGUAAUCAUUUUUACUCUUGAUGGAACUCAGCUUCCAUUCUCUGUCACGUUGAAUUUUGCUUCAGAGAAAUACUUAUAUGAGCAGUUUGCAGAUUAAAUAAUCUGUGGACCUAUUUCUCUAUUUUUACUUCAUAGUACCUUCAAGAGGAGAAAAUGUUUAAGCUUAAAGUUAUUCAGGUAACUUAGUUUUUGUGGGGGGAAGACAUUGAAGAAUAUUAAUAUCUACUCAGUAAAGUAUUACAUGGUACAAUGUUCAGGAUUGCUGCUUUCAUAGAGCUGCACAAAAAAGAGUUGCUUUCAGUAAUGUUGAUCUGAUAAAUUUUACAGUUGGUAGAAGAGUUAAUAUUUUGCAAUUAAUUAUUGGCCAAAAUGCUUUUUAUUACCCAUUCAUCCCCUUAACUUUUGAUAAGUUGAAUCUUAUGACCACAUUUUACUGCUACAUUCUUAUUUGACUUUUCACUGUGAGUUCCUGACUAAUUAAAUUUAAAUUUAGCAUUUUUUUUUGUUUCAGCAUUUUUAUAGUGCUUCUCAAAAUCAUUUUAUAUGUAUAAAUCAAGAGACAGUGAUAGUAUUAUUAGUAAAGUGGAAAGUAAGAUAUUCUCAUGUGUGAUGUGAACAUACUGAGAAUGACAUAACUCAAGCUUGAGAAAAAUGACUUCCAGGAAUAUUUUUUUUCUUCAUCAUACUUUCCUUAUCCCCAAGAAAAGGGAAUGAAUAAAAGAAACAAGAUACAGUAAACCCUUCCUACUAGGUUUAUUACUCUCUUACUACCUUAUUUAUGUAAGAAAAUGCCUUUCACUUUACAAACUGUUAAAUGCCUUUUUUUGGGGGGGGGGACCGGGGAUUGAACUCAGGGGCACUUGACCACUGAACCACAUCCCCAGAUGUAUUUUUCUUUCUUUUCUUUUUCUUUCUUUUUUAUUUUUUAGUUGCAGAUAGGUACGAAACCAUUUAUUUAUUUAUUUAUGUUUAUUUUUUUUAGAUGCAUGGACCUUUAUUUUAUUCAUUUAUUUUUAUGUGGUGUUUAGGAUCAAACCUAGUGCCUCACACUUGCUAGGCAAGCGCUCUACCACUGAGCUACAAUGCCUGGCCCCAGCCCUAUUUUGUAUUUUAUUUAGAGACAGGGUCUCACUGAGUUGCUUAGCACUUCACUUUGAACUUGUUAACCUCCAGCCUCAGCCUCCCAAACUGCUGGGAUUACAGGCAUAUGUCACUGCGCCCGGCUAGAAGCUUAUUUUUAAUUUAGGAUUAUAUUUAGUGUCUUUGGUUUGUGUAAGUAGUGGGGUGUUUGAGAUCUGUUACUUACGAUUCUUUCUGAGAAAUUUUACCAAUAUACGGGCAAAUUUUAUCCUUUUCUGUGUCGAGGUCUUACAAAUCUUUUGUUUUUUUUUCCUCCCUGGCACAUAUUCUGCAAGUGGUAUAUUACCAGAUUGAGGAAAUUCUCUUUUAACUGCUGUUUUUGUCAUGUAAGGGUAUUGAAUAUGUUAAAUUAUCUUUUUUUUUUUUUUGCAUCUGUUAAAAUGAGCAUAUUGUGUUUUUUCCCUUUUAUCUGUUAGAGUGGUAUAUUUACAUGGGUUGACUUUUAGAUGUUAAUCUAGCCUUGCAUUUACUGUGAUAAAAAACAUCCUCCUGAUUAUGGUGUAUUAUUUUUAAAAAAAACAAUUGCUGGAUUUGAUUUGCUAAUACUAAAAAAAAAGUGGAGAAUCAUUCUGUCCUAUUUUUCUGAAAAAUUUUACAAUUAUUAUUAUUUUUUUCUUAGUUAUAUGUGUUCUUCACCAGUGAAGCCAUCUAGGACUGAAGUUUUUUGGUUUUGGGAAGGUUGGUUGAUUACACAAAAUCAGUCUUUAAUAGGUAUUCUGUGUCUUUAUGUGCCAUUUUCAAGAAUUUUUCUGUUUAGCAGUUAAAACUAUUAACAAAGUUGUUUACAUUGUAGUCAUUCAUUUCAUGACUAUAGGAUUUACUAUGUUUUACUUUUUUUGUUGAUAAUUUUGUUCUUUUAUUUUCUUCAAUUUUUCUAAUAGUUUGUCAAUUUUCUUCAUUCUAAAGAAUGUUGUUAGGUUUUUUUGUUGUUUCCUUUUUCUCUUUCACAUUUUUAUUUUUGUUUCUUUUUUAAUCUAUUUAUUUUAUGUUUAGUUUAUUGUCUUAUUUCCCUUUUCCGGGGGAACCUUGGUCACCAGUUUUUCACUUCUCAGCUGUUUUAUAAUGUUGUCCGUUGCCUCUGUCUUCUGUUGUUUGUGGUGAGAAGCAGACUUGUCAUUUAAACCUUGUUCAUCUGUGUAAUGUAUCUAUUUUUCCCCCUUUGGCUGCUUUUAAGAUUUAGUUUGUUUUAUUUGUCAGCAGUUUGACUGUGGUGGCUCAGGAGAGAGAGAGAGAGAGAGAGAGAGAGUGUUUUCUUUCUGGGCUUGCUAAUUUGGAUCUGUUUUGGUGUCCUUAAUCAGUUUUCAUCAGGUCUUGGUCAUAUGUCUUCAAACUUUUUUCUGCCUCAUUUUUCUUUCCUCUUUUUCUGAGAUUUCAGUCAGUUACUUGUGUGGUAGAUUCUUUGAUAUUGUCCUAUAGAUCUCAAAACUAUGUUCUUAAGUGAUCUCUUGUAGUUCUUCUUUACUACUCCUAGAACUACUGCAGAAGUUUUAGUUGGUAAGUGCUGAUGAGUGGUUGUAGAUGUAGUGAUUGUGACUUAGGGAUGUGGGGAUUCUGGUCUAUCUUAAUAGCCAAUAUGUAUGUGACUUAAAAAUAAUUUAAAGUUUGGUUGAUACCUCCAUGUGUGGCAGAUUUUUCUUGACUUUUUAUCAGGAAUGAAAAAAAAAAAAAACGUGGUUUGGGGUUUUCUUUUCUCUAAUGCAAGAUUUGUUGCUUUCUAGAGUUUAGUUCAUUUGUUAGGUGUAUGUGUGUGUCCUCUCAGCUCUUGAGGCUUUAAAAAAUAUUGUAGUUUCCCAUCUUAAGUGACUUGUUUUUGUAGUUAGGGUGAGGGGAAUGGUAUCUUUUGAUUUUUCUGCAUCCAUCCAGAAGUGGAAAGUCUACUGUAGUUUUAAUGUGCAUUUGUUUUAUGAAUUAUGUUGGGAGACAUUUUUAAUUGCUUCAUCUAUCUGUAUGUUUUUUUUCAUGUCAGUUCCUCCUACUCUAUUUUUUUUCUGUUACAUUGUUGCUUUCCUAAAAUUUUUAUUUGUAGGGAUUUUCAUAUAUUAGAUAAAUUACUAUAUGGAUUGCAACUUCUCUUCCCCAUAUUGACAUAUAUGUUGAUUCUGCUUACAGUAAUUUUUCUUUCUUUCCUUUUGGAGAUGAAGUCGCACUCUGUUGCCCAGGCUGGCCUCAAACUCCUGGGCUGAGGCAACUUUUCUGUUCUUGUCUCUCAAGUAGCUGGGACUAAAAGUAUGUACUACCAUGCCUGGCUUGGAAAUUGUUUUAAUAUAGAGAGUGGAGUUAUUUCAUGGAGUCUGGAUUUGUUUAUAAGCUACACAAAACCUUUCCUAUUCUGAGAUGAGGAUAUUGAUGAUGGUGGUAAUGUAUUGAUAGCUAUCAUUAAUCGUGCUUACCAGGUUGCCCAUGUACCGAUUGAUUUAUCACAGUGAAUGAACUUUAAUAAAUGAUAGGCAUACUACACACAUACUGAGCCAGAGAUUAAAUAGUCUUUCAGAGAGUCCUAGUGGUAUCAUCCAUGUGCUUUAUAGUCUUUAAAUUUUUUUGAUACUGAGGAUUGAACACAGGAGUGCUUAACCACUGAGCCACAUUCCCAACCCUUUUUUAUUUUUUGUUUUGCAAUCUUGAUAAAUUGUUUAGGGCCUAGUUGAGUUGCUGAGGCUGGCUUUGAACUUGUCAUUCUCCUGCCUCAGCCUCCCAAGGUGCUGGGAUUACAGUCAUGCAUCAUCACCCCUGACAGUGCUCUUAUUUUUAGUACCUCAGUCUUCUACCCACCUGAAAUAUAUUUAAAAGAGGCAUGUAGGAAGUAUGGAUCCAGCUCUCUUAUUAUAUUCACAUGUGUACAAAUUUAUCCUUAUACAAUUAACUGCAUAAUAUAUGUGUUUUCCUAAUGAUUUGGGAGACUACCUUAAUUCUAUAAUAAAUUUUUAUGUACAUUUGGGUUUUUUCUAACUUUCUAUAUGUGUUAUUGAUCUAUGUCUAUUAUACCACACUUUUAUUUUGGGGGGAUUUAUAGUUCCCUGUUAAUAAUACUCAUUUUCAGAAUUUUCUGCCUAUUUUUGCUUAACCCUCUCCCCCCACAGGAUUAUAGUAUAUGAGAAGUCAAAUGUAUAAGAAACAUGUUUUGAAUCUUACAGUGAUACACCCAUUGCUUAGAUUCUGCCAUUAACAUUUUCGUGUACAUGUCACUGUGUCCUUUUUGAUUCAUUUAAAAGUAAAUUGUAGACAUCAGUGCUCUUUACCCCAAAGAUGUAUAUCAUUACAGUUCAGUAUUGGUUUAGUUUUCUCUUUAAAAUUUAGAGUUUAUGUACAAUCAAAUAUACAGAUAGAUAUUAAGUGUACCAUUUAAUGAAUUCAACAAAUGCAUCCAUUGUUGUAACCCAGUCUCCCAUCAAGGUAAAGAACAUUGACAUCACCCUGAAAAGUUUUCAUCAUUCUCCUUCUUGUGACCACACCUGUCACUAGAAGAAAGCACUAUUCUGAUUUUUUUUUUUUUUGCCAUUAUAUAUUAGUAUUGCCUGAAAACACUAUUCUGAUUUUUUUGCCACUAUAUAUUAGUAUUGCCUGUUUUAGAACUUCUUACAUAUGGAAUCAUUGAGUAUGUAUUCUUUUGUGUAAGACUUCUUUUAAAAAUAAUGUUUAAAAGGUUUAUACUGUUGCAAAUACUUUGUUUUAUUUUAUUGUUGAGUAGUAUUUCAUUGUUAGAGUAAUGUAUAAUUAUUAUAAUAAUGUCAAUACUAUUUUUAGUUCAGAUUAACAGUUUCUUGUUAAAUCUUUUACUUGAUAAUAAUACAUGCUUACUUUAAUUAAAAUAGUAUAAAAAUAUAAACUAAAAGUGAGUCUUAUGUCCCUUUUCUUAUUCUCACAUAUACUCAUAAACAUGUAAAACUUAACACACACUUAUUACAUAUUUAUGUAAGUAGAUAAUUUUAAAAAAUUUAUUAGCUCAUAUUAUGCCCAUGCUACUGCAACUAAUAUUCCAGGUAACACUGCAUAUCCUGCCAUAGGGGUAUAUUAUUAAGUAGAAUCCUAUUCUUUCCAGUGUCUCCAUAGUGUUACAUUUAGUGAACAUACGCAAUUUGUUUGAAUAGUGUUGUAUUUACAGUAUGACCUGUGACCAGUCUUAGUCCAUUUCUGUUGCUGCAACUCAGUAACACAAAUUGGGUAAUUUAUAAAGAAAAUAAAUUUAUUUCUCACAGUUCCAGAGACUGGAAAGUCUCAGGUUGAGGGACCAUAUCCGGUGAGAGCCUUCUUUCUUCUUCUUUCUGAUGAGUACUGUCUAAAGUCUCAAGGCAGUUGGUAUGGAGCAGCACAUAGCAAGUCCGAAUAGGCUCAUUAAUGCAAUCAUUAGAGCUCUACUCUCAUGACUUCAUCUAAUUCUGAUUACUUCCUGAAGACCUCGCCUGGUUCUACCUCAUGAUGGGGAUACAAUUUUAACGUGAGUUAUGGUGGUGACAUCCAAGUUAUAGCGGAUGCUAGCCUCUUAAAUUAAUUUUCACAGUGUGAAAAGGUAGCAAAUAUAGCAGAAGGGCUUGAAAUGUCUUUUUCUUUUGGACUUUUAGUAUAACAUGUAGUUUUUAUGUUUAAAAUGCCUGAAAUUUAGUGUCAUUGUGUGGACAUACUACAGUUUGUAUAAUUAUUUUGUUCCUGUCAUUUAGGUUGUUUUCCUAUUUUUUGACUCUAUAAAUAUACAUCUUCCUCUGUAUUUUUCCAUGUGUGUAUACACUUUGUUCUCAUUAGUAGGAAUUGAUUGCCAGAAAUCAUCUAAUAUUGUUGGAGGGUUUUUUUAGGAUUAAGAACUGGAUGUUUAGCUGGGUGAGGUGGCUCAGGCCUAUAAUUCUAGCUGUUUGGGAGGCCGAAGACAGGAGGAUCACAAGUUCAACCCAACCUGGGCAACUUAACUAGACCUGUCUCAAAAUAAAAAAUAAAAAAGACUGGCGAUGUGUAACUCAGUGGUAGAGUGCCCUGGGCUCAACCCUAAGCACCACAAAAAGAGGGGGAAAUGGAUGUUUGGAAGCUUGGCCAGGUAUUUUCUUGUUUCUUUAAACCUAUUAGUCCAGAUAAACUUACUUAAUCAUGUCCCGUAUUGCAUUUUUAACCCCUCCCCAUGGUUUUAAAGAGCCAUUUUUAAAAAGUGACUGGACAUAAUGUAAUGAAUGUGUCAUUAUAAACUCUAGACUAUUUUUGAGUUUUUUGUAGUUUUUUGAAUUCUGAUAUCCUAUACUCUCUAUUGCUAUACAUACAUUCUUCAGUUAUUUAUUUUCCAUUGCUUGUUGGAAGUUUAAAAGUUGAUAUAAAAAUUAUGAAAUUUAAAUGAAGUCAGUUGUUGUAAAUAAAAAUUUGUGUGACUGUAAAUUUCACAUAAACAUUGAUAUGCAGUUCAGGAGGUCAUUUAUUUGUUGUUCCUUGUAUGAGUUUAAAAGAUAACAGGUACUUCAUGGCCUGCUAUCACUUAUGACUUUAUGGGGAAUAUUUAAAAUUGUCAGCAUGACUGCUAUACUUUGAAUCUCGAAAGUUCCCCAAAAGGCCGUGUGUUAAAGCUGUGGUCCUCAGACUUAGUGUUAUUGAGAGGUCCUCCUGGUAGAUUUUUAGGUCAUUGAAGGUGCUGUGUUUUCUUGAAGGAGAUAGUGGAACCCCAUCCACUUCCUCACUCUUGUUCACUUCCUAGCCAUGAAAUGAAUACUUUUGUUCUGCUUCCAGCUUCCAACAUGAUGUGCUGCCAUAGGCCCAAACCUCUAAAAUUAAGCUAAAACAAAACUGUUUGUAGUUGAUUAUCUCAGGUAUUUGAUUUAGCAAUGGAAAACUGACCUUUUAAUGCUUAUAUUAUGUUCUUUCAUGAUCUCAAGUACUUAAGUUACCAUUUUAAAUAGUUUAAUUCCAUAAUAGCAUAUUGAUUGGAAGAAGUAGAUCUGAUUUUGAAAACUGCUGCAUAAAAUUAUUACUAGUAUAUAAAGAGGUGUGUGUGUGUGUGUGUGUGUGUGUGUGUGUGUGUGUGUUUGGUAUUUUUCAGGUUGAAUUUUGUUAACUUUUGGGUGCCUCUGAUGAGAUUAAAUAGGUCAAAUUGAAAUAAAAGUUAAGUUCUUUGAGGAUACAUGAGGUUUUGAGGAACCACCUGUAUUCAUUAGGACUAAGAAGAGGCUUCUGAAUCCACAUAGUCUUUAUUGAUUUCAGAUUAAGAGGAGGUUUUACUGCCAUGCUGGAAUUUGGAUAUUUUGGAAAAUUGGAGAAGAUUAAAGUAGAAGCAACUCGAUCAGAUAUUUUUUCAAGAAUGUUGCUUAUGGUGUGUAGAUAAUUUAAUUUUAACUUGUAUUGUGGAGACAAUUUUAGCAAGCAGUUGAUCAUUCUAGUUUAGGAGUGAAUUGUGAAAUAACUAAACUUGGACUUUGUAGGUGGUACUUAGUCUAGGUACUUAGCAAGAGAGAAGGUGGUAAUCUUGGAAAAUAUGUGCUAAAUGUGCACAGGAGGUUAAGUCUGAGCAGUCAGGAUAUAGGAAGAAAAGACAACUUGUCAAAGGAAGAGGAACUUGUCAAAAUGUUAGAGGCAUUUUUAUUUACAUUUUUGUGUCUGUGACAGAUUUAUGAAUUCAUUAGUACACUUAUACAUUUGUCCUAAUUGUGACAUCAAUUAAGACAUGCUUUUUCUGAGUUUUGGUUGCUAUGUCUCUACUUCUAUAUGACCUUUUGUGUAAUGUUGGUAAUUAGUAGAUUGUGGUUGGUUCUAGGAAAAAAGGCAGACAUAGUUACCUAGAAUCCCCUUGAGGGGAAACAGACAAACAUAAAACAGUUACAAUUUAGCAGUGGUAGAAAUAUGUAUAGAUCUUUAGGUCUUCAACUUAGGGGAAAUAUACAAAAUGUUUCUAUUUAGUAGAAUUUAGUUGUUAUGUAUCCCUCCCAGAGCUUUAAAAUUUGCUUGCAUAUGCUGAGAAAAUGGCAUCAUAUGGUUCUUGAAAAAAGACAUAAAAGGAAAAAUUUCUUUUGCCCCUGAAGAUUCUAACAGUAUACUGAAUUUUAAAGUUCAAUUAGCUAAAAGUUAUUAGGGAUGGGAAGAGCAGAAAACAGAAGAGGUGCAUUGAUGGGGAAAGCUUAACAUUUUACUCCUUGAAAUGACCCACUUUUUCAAAUGCUGUAGUUUAGUGUUUUUAUUUUAAAAAUAUGUAAACUGAAGUCUGGAGAAGUAAAAAUGCUAACCCAGGAUUAUAUACUUAGUGAAUAAGUAGAAUUAAUGCCAGAUUAGAAAUUUAAAAAUCCCAGGUAUUUUGGGAUUCAGUCCAUGCUUUUGUUUUCUUCUUAAACAAUACCAGACUUCUUCAAAGAAAGGCCAACAAUAUGGCUUAGGACUAAGUGGGUGAGCUCGAAAGCAAAUAUAUUACUUAAAAUGCAGCCAGAAUUUAAAAUAAAGCAUAUUCUUAGAAGUAAGUAUAGACAUUUUAUAACUUUAAAAUUUUUAUUGUAAUUUAUUCUUCAGUAAUUCUUGAACCUGUGUUAUUAUGUUUACCAGGUUAAUGUCUUCUUGCUGGGCAUGGUGGUGCAUACUUGUAAUCACAGAGACUUGGAAGGUUGAGGCUGGAGGAUCUCAAGUUCAAGGCUAGCCUCAGCAACUUUAGUGAGGCCCUGAGCAACUUAGCUAGACCCCGUCUCAAAAUAAAAGAUAGGACUGGGUAUGUAGCUCAGUGGUAAAGUGCCCCCAGGUUCAAUCCCCAGUAUAAAAAAAGGAAAAAAAAAAAAAAAAAAAAAAGCUUUCCUUGAGCACAUUUACAAUUAUUUCUAAUUUGACAAAACGGCUGUUUCCUCAGAUGAAGAAACUAAAGAUUAAUUACUUAGUCCUGAGAUUUCUGAAUCAAAAAAGGUCUAUAAUUACUUUUUUUAAAGGAAAAUAUUCAGCAUCAUUAUCAGUAUUAGAAAAUUUUGUUGGCAAUAUUAAAAAAGACUUAGAAGUUAGGUGUAGCCUACCACACAACAUUAGCCAGUAUGUUGUUUUAUUUUUAAAUAUUUAAGAAAUAGAUGUUAAUGGUUUAACUGACUUGGCCUAGUUUAUACAAUAGAAUGAUCGUUUAUAUUUGUAGUCCUUGGUGCUCUUUCUCUUGGAAAAUUCUGCCUUUGCUUGGUCAUGAAAGAAAAUAUUACUAGUCUUUUAUGUCACCUUUUAAUAACAGAAGGGAUGGAUUACCUGAGAUCUAUUUUGUAACUAGGUAGAAUGUAAAUAAAAUGAUGACUAUUGGAAACCAUACUUUUCCCAGAAAACUCAAAUACUUCUUCAACUAUGAAUUAGAAUAAAAAAUACCAACAGAUAUCUAAAUGUGGAAUUUUGUUGUGUGUUUCCAUAUUGCCAUUCCAAUUUUCAAGAGAUUUUUGCUGGGCAUCAUGGCACAUGCCUGUAAUCCCAGCAGCUCAGGAUGCUGAGGCAGGAGGAUCGCCAGUUCAAAGCUAGCCUCAGCAACUCAGCGAGACCCUGUCUCUAAAUAAAAUAUAUUUAAAAAAAAAAAAGGCUGGGGCUGUAACUCAGUGGUUAAAUGCCCCUAGGUUUAGUCCCCCCAAAAAAGAGAGCUAAGAGAGGUAUGAUGUUAUGCCCACGAGAAUAUGUGCUUAAUUUGCUAUUUGGGUUACUGCUCUUUGCACUGAACAGUACAAACUUUUACUUUGAUUUUGUGAUCUGAUUAUUGGGUCUUUGAGAUUGUGAAGAUAUUAAUUUGUCUUGGAACUAGACAAAUGUCUUAAUAACUUUUAAAGCAGUGAUUCUCGUGUGUGAUGUGAGGACUCCUAGGGUUUCCCUAAAACACUUUAACGUCACCCGUGAGGUUCCCAUUUUUCUUUCUUUCUUUUUUUUUUUUUUAACUAUAAAUCUGUGUAGGACCAGAUUUUCUUCAUGUACUUCCAAACAGUGUCACAACAGAUGGAAUGCAGAAGUAUUGGUCUGCCUUCUAUUAACAGGACAUUUAAAGGUAUUUGAACAAAAUGUGAAAUAUUAUAAUUCUUGUAAAAAAUCUUUUGUUUUAUAAAAUAUAGGAUUUCCCUCAACCCCUGUAAAAAGUACAGUAUCUAGUUUAAGUGAGGUGGUCAGUCUUGGAAUUCUAUUUAUCCCUGACCUUGCGGAGGGGAUAUGACCCAGACUGGGAGGUUGAGUCAUUUUCAGUAUGGGCCAGUACAGACCCUGAGGGAGAAAAUGAUAGGUUCUUUUCUCUAGCUAUGAGAAUAACAUAGCUGUGGGUCUAUUGUUGCUUCUCUGUGGUCUAAAAAUGAAAUGCUCUAAAGGGAAAGCAAAGUAGUAUCCUGGUAUAUCAUUUGAACUCCUAGAUAAUAGCUAUGCCUAAAGCUGGUGAUGCUUUUGGAUUUUUCAUUUAUUUGUAGCAAUACUUCCUUUGAUGACUUCAAGAAAAUAAUAUUCAUGCUAAGUUGUAAUUGGUUGUUAGUUUAAAGGAAUUAAAAACUUUCUCACUUUCAUUAUUAAUAUAAUAAAUAUUGAUAGCUAUAGCCCUAAAAGCUCUUUGGAGUUCUAAUUUUUACGUAAAGGGAAUCUGAGAAAACAUUGGAGAUCCCCUCUUGUAAAGAAAGGUGGGAGGAAAUUAAGUGGAUUGUGUGAUUCUUAUGUUCAGAUCAUGUUUCAAUAUGUUUUGGUGGUAAUUUUAUUUUGUAGAAUGAACUGAGCAUAUAAUAAUUCUUAAUGAAUAACAUGUACUUUAACACUUAACCACAAUCAAUUUGUUUUGCCUUACUUGGAUUAUAUGAAACUGCACAAUAAACUACAGCAAUUAAAAAUUUCAGUGUGUGUAUCAUAUUUGUUGCUUGAAAUUUGGGUUUUUAAAAGUAAUCAUAAGUACAGAAUAAAGAAUUAUGACUGAUGCAAAUUAGGUAUUCUUCAUGAAUAUAAAAUGAAAAAUUGGUAGGAACAGAUGUGGGUGUAUAUCCGUGUUCUUCAGUUACUGAGUUAACAUAUUUAAAUUUAAUUUUUAAUUCCCACUACCACCUCCAGCUCCUUCUUUUCAAGAUUACUGAAAAUGGAAGCUGGGGUUAAAUUCUAUCAGUUAUCUUCCACUGAAUUUCUAAAGCCUCCAAGAAACUUGAGCAAAACAAACUCCUGAAAUAUUAUUGUGGAGUGUUAUAGUUUUCUUUGUUUCAUUACUGUUUUGAAAAAUCCUAAAUCAUAAACUAAAAAAUUAUAUGAUGAGUAGAUUAGGAAAAAUUGCAACCCUUAUUUCUAGGGGCACUUUGAUUCAUGUUAUUUAAACAAUAUUAAAAUCCAGUUCUUUGGGGGAGAUUUUAUUAUAGGAUUUGAUAUUCUAUAUUACUUUGACUUAUCAAAUUUAUUUAGUUUGUAUACUUCCUCAUAUAUAGCUGGAAGAAAAAUAACCCUCUUAGAUAGUCACCCCUAUGCUUAUUAAAAUUAUGCAAGAAGGUGAACCUCCAAAAUAAAAAUGGCAUUCUUAUCUGUUGUAUUCUUCACAUGGCAUAUUCAAAGAUUGAUAAAGUUUUAUUUUUAUGCCUUUAAAUCAUUAUGUGAAUGGUUUUAAGGUGAUCUGGAUGUUUAAUUUGUCAAAGUUCACUGAAGCAAUUAAUUUGAAAUCCUUGGAGAGAUGAAAGAUUCGAAAUUUAAAUGUUGGUGAAUGCUCAUUUUGCUCCAUUUCACCGGAAUCUCUUUCCUUGUAUUAUGUCAAAUAGGCUUUUGCCUCAGACUCUCUUUCUCUUGGGUUCACUGGGUCUGGACUGUUCCCAUAAAACAUCUUGUUGUACUUCAUUGCAAUCCCUGCCUAGAUUCAGAUCUCUGUUUAAAACAAUUUGUCAAGAGUCAGUCCUGGAUGAUCUCAUCUAAGAUUGUAAUUCUUCACUCAUUUCCUCCCUCCCUGCUUCCCUCUCUCCUUUCUUCUCUCUAGUUUUUCCUCCUCCUCUAUGCAUUAUCUUGCCCUGAAUUAGUUUUCUAUAGAGCACUUAUCUAUAUGACAGUACAUAUUAUUUACAUAAAUAUGUGUAUGUAUAUGUGUGUCCUCUCAACCCCAAUAUAAAUUCUGUGGGGACAGGUACUUUAUUCUUUUCAAAGUUAUAUCCUCAGUAUCUAGAAUAAUGUCUGCCAUACUGAGUGUAUAUUAAGUAUUUGAGUAUUGAAUGCAAUAUUGGAAGAUAACCACCAAGCCAAACAUAAUAAGUUAUUUUAUUUUAUUCAAACUUUGUGAAGAUGAAAAUGAUCCAUGAUAGGCCCAGAUUCUAAGAGUUAAGAAAAUUAGUUUUUCAAUUUUCAUUUUUUCAGUAAAACGUUUUUUAUGGUAUGUGAUUUAUAGUGUAAUUUUUUAAAGAUUUUUUAUUUUUCACAUACAUAUAGCUAGGUAGAUUGGUAAUGAGAAGGGAUAUUUCAUAUGUUUGCAUGAUAUCUUGUGAACAAAAUUAAAUCUAAUGAUUAUGCUCUUUCAGGUUUGUGGGGCAUUUGCUAUCUAGUCCAGUGCUUAUCUGCCAAGGAUUUUUCAGUCUAUACUUGAAAUCAUUCUAAUAAUGAAGAAUUCUCUUUCAGGUAGUUUAUUGUACUUUUAGGCAGUUUAUUUUGCUUUGGGGGGGCCUUUUUUUUUUUUUUAAAGUCCAUCUAUUUUUAAGACAAAAAUCUGUUGUUUUUAUUUACUCUUUGUAAUUAUAUCCCAUGGAGGACAUUUGAAUAAAUGUAAUUCUUCUUCCUUGUGAUAGCUAGGAUAUUAUUUGCAGGAUUACUGAGUUCUCUCUGACAUUUCUAUUCUCUAGGCUGAGAAUCCCUCAUAAGCCAUCUAAUAAUGACAUCUAUUUACCAUCUUGAGCAUUUUCUAAGAAUCUGUUUUUUAAAAAAAUAUAAAAGGUGGUACCUAGAACUUCAAGCCAUAGCACUCUUCUACAUGGGAGAGCCGCACUAUUCUCUCUCUCUGUUUUAUUGCAUCAUUAUGAUUUAUGUUUCCCCCUUACCGUUUCACACUUUAAUCUUAUUUUAAUAUAUUUUUCACUAAAUAGUUAAGGUAUUCCCCCUUUGCCUGCUUUCUACCAAUGUGGUUGGUAAGUAAGGUGUCCUGCCUUGCAUAUUUUGUAGUUUCUGAUUUUCUUUUUUUAAAUUUUUGUUUUCUUUACUCUUCUUCUCCCACCUGUAUCCCCAACAGGUGAUGAGAGUUAAAGCAGUUUGGUCAGAAUCAUUCUUUAAUGGGAGAUUUUAUGAUUGUUUGCAGGGGUGGUUAAAAAGUACACAGGGAAAAUAGAACCGGUUUCCUAAAUAGGAAGGAAGUAUGUCACAUUUUCAAAAAUUGAUUUUCCCUGCCCUCUUUCUUAUGGUUUGUAAGAAGAUUUUAGUCCCACUUUCAGUGGAGGAAAUAAUUUAGCUCUGAGACAUUUUGUGUCAUUCACAUCACAAACCUGUUAGUAGCAGUGGCAACUAGUAUAGCAAAAUAUCUCCUUAACAGUCUUGCUUGCCAUGGAGACUAUUUCUUUUAAUAACCCCUUACUGUCUGAGUAUGAUUUUCUUUUGAUAGGUAAAUUUAAAUGCUUUUCAUAGCAGAUUAUCAUUACUAGACGUUCAGAUAAUGUAGUAUUGGUUCUUUUAAUUAAGACAAAAGUAGGACAUCUUUAGCCUUUCUAUUCCUAAUCAAAACAUUUUGGUAUAUCAUUAAAAUUUUUAUGGUUCAGUUUAUUUUCUGCUCAAAUCUGCCAAGUACAUACCUUUUCUUUGUUUUCAGAAUACAGAAAUAAUGAUGGAAUGACAUCUAUAACUUGAAAAAAAUCGCCUCCCAAGUGCAAGUUGUUUUGGUUUUAGAUAUGAAAUUAUAAACAUUGAUUCUAGUUUAUAUUUUGAAUUCUUAACAAAUUUUAAAAAGUAGUUAGCCAGCUGGGCAUGGUGGCAGUUAGAGGUUGGGAUUUCACCAAGCCCAUGAGUUAGAAGGAUGGUAAAAGGAAAGAUAUAGGAGAUUGAGAAAUUGGUUAGAGACUGUUUUAAAUAUUUGAAAAUUAAACUGAAAAGUGGAGAAUAAAAGGAGGAGGUAGGUGUCCUUCAAUAGAUGAAUUGUUAAAUAAAAUGUGGUACAUAUACACAAUAGAAUACUACUCACCCAUAAAGAAAAAUGAAAUUAUGGCAUUUGCCGUUGAAUGGGUGGAAAUGGAAAAUAUCAUGCUAACUGAAAUAAACCAACUAGAUGUGAAAAAUGGAGGUCUGGUUUCUGGGCAACUUUUUGUAAGAAGCAGUCUAGUGUAGUGGUUGUAAGUGUAGACUUCGGACAGUGAAAUUUAGGGUUAAAUCUUGAACAUGAUUCACUCAUCAGAAACUUUCCUUCCUGUCUUUUCUGCUCUUGGAUCUCACCAUCACUCCCCUGACACAAAUAACCAUAGUUAUUAGUUUUUUUUUUUUUUUUAAUCCUUCUGUCCUUUGAAUCAUAUAAAUUAUUCAAAGGUAAACAAUCUGAAUACUUGAUUUCUCCUCCUCCCCAACAAAUGGUAACAAACUGUAUAAAGUUCUUCUCUACCCUUUUAACAAACUGAUUUCUCUAUUAUGUGUAUCAUUUCUUGUAUGAAUAAUAGAAUUUAUGAUAUGUAAGGUGUUUUAACAUAAGGAUAUCAUAUUUCUUCAGUGCCUUGUAUGAGGCAGUAUUUUUACACAUAUUAAUUUACAACUGUAAUAUCUUAUAAGUCAGUUUGUACCUAAAAUUUAUAGGAUGUGCUGUUAUUUAUAGCUAAAUUUUCUUCAUUCUUUUUUUUUAGAAUUUUUUUUUCUUAGUUGUAGAUGGACACAGUACCUUUAUUUUUUUCAUGUGGUGCUGAGGAUUGAACCCAGUGACUCACACAUGCUAGAUGAGCACUCUACCACUCAGACACAACCCCAGACCCUCAACAUUCCUUUUUUUUUUUUUUUUUUUUUUAGCUGUGAUGCAGAUCCAUCAGCCCUAGCAAAAUAUGUUCUGGCUUUGGUAAAGAAAGACAAAAGUGAAAAAGAGUUAAAGGCAUUAUGUAUUGAUCAGCUGGAUGUAUUUCUUCAAAAAGGUAAGAUC